rnacentral:rRNA from 1 species
AGACGUAGGGGGCGAGCGUUGUCCGGAAUUACUGGGCGUAAAGAGCACGUAGGCGGGUUAGAAAGUCAGAUGUGAAAGACCGUGGCUUAACUACGGGGUUGCAUCUGAAACUAGUAAUCUUGAGGGCAGGAGAGGUCAGUGGAAUUCCUGGUGUAGCGGUGAAAUGCGUAGAAAUCAGGAGGAACACCGGUGGCGAAGGCGACUGACUGGACUGACCCUGACGCUGAGGUGCGAAAGCGUGGGUAGCAAACAGGAUUAGAUACCCUGGUAGUCCACGCUGUAAACGAUGGAUACUAGGUGUGGGAGGUAUCGACCCCUUCCGUGCCGGAGCAAACGCAAUAAGUAUCCCGCCUGGGGAGUACGGUCGCAAGGCUGAA